rnacentral:rRNA from 1 species
GAUGAACGCUAGCUACAGGCUUAACACAUGCAAGUCGAGGGGCAGCAUAGGGUUUGCUUGCAAACUCUGAUGGCGACCGGCGCACGGGUGAGUAACGCGUAUCCAACCUGCCCAUGGCUAGGGAAUAGCCCGUUGAAAAGCGGAUUAAUGCCCUAUGGGGUCCUUUGCAGACAUCUAACGAGGACUAAAGGUUUACCGGCCAUGGAUGGGGAUGCGUCCGAUUAGAUAGUAGGCGGGGUAACGGCCCACCUAGUCAACGAUCAGUAGGGGUUCUGAGAGGAAGGUCCCCCACAUUGGAACUGAGACACGGUCCAAACUCC